GAUGAAGAACGGAGCGAAAUGCGAUAAGUAGUGUGAAUUGCAGAAUUCAGUGAAUCAUCGAAUCUUUGAACGCACAUUGCGCCCCUUGGUAUUCCAUGGGGCAUGCCUGUUCGAGCGUCAUUUGUACCUUCAAGCUCUGCUUGGUGUUGGGUGUUUGUCUCGCCUCUGCGUGUAGACUCGCCUCAAAACAAUUGGCAGCCGGCGUAUUGAUUUCGGAGCGCAGUACAUCUCGCGCUUUGCACUCAUAACGACGACGUCCAAAAGUACAUUUUUACACUCUUGACCUCGGAUCAGGUAGGGAUACCCGCUGAACUUAAGCAUAUCAAUAAGCGGAGGA
rnacentral:misc_RNA from 1 species